rnacentral:rRNA from 1 species
GGAUCAUUACUGGGACAGUUGGGCCCCGAGCCCGUCGCCCGCCCUUUGUUAUCACCACCCCAACGCUUCGGCCGUUGACGUUCGGACGGCAUCUGCCCGGACGGUCGUCACGGUCGGUCUUAUCCAUCCUCCUGUGUAAUGUGUACUGUCUGAUGCAAAAACGAAAAACGAAAAUAAAACUUUCAACAACGGAUCUCUUGGUUCUGGCAACGAUGAAGAACGCAGCGAAAUGCGAUAAGUAAUGCGAAUUGCAGAAUUCAGUGAAUCAUCGAAUCUUUGAACGCACAUUGCGCUCCCUGGUAUUCCGGGGAGCACGCCUGUUCGAGCGCCAUUUCACCCACCAAGCGUUGCUUGAUGUUGGACGCAGCAUUCGGUGCUCGUCUGAAACGCGUGAGGCGCCGUCCGUCGAGCAUCAGCGUGGCAAACCACUCCGCUGGGUGCGCCGACGGGUCGGUGGCCGUGAUUUUGAACCAUUUUCUAGGUUGGCCUC